rnacentral:rRNA from 1 species
UAUUGGUCAAUGGCCGGAAGGCUGAACCAGCCAUGCCGCGUGAAGGUCAGUGCCCUAUGGGCGUUAAACUUCUUUUGUGCGGGAGCAAUAAGGUCCACGUGUGGGCCGACGAGAGUACCGUACGAAUAAGCAUCGGCUAACCCCGUGCCAGCAGCCGCGGUAAUACGGGGGAUGCAAGCGUUAUCCGGAUUUAUUGGGUUUAAAGGGUGCGUAGGCUGUGAGGUAAGUCAGCGGUGAAAUGCCCCCGCUCAACGGGGUGAAGUGCCAUUGAUACUACCUUGCUGGAAUGCGGAUGCCGUGGGAGGAAUGUGUGGUGUAGCGGUGAAAUGCAUAGAUAUCACACAGAACUCCGAUUGCGAAGGCAGCUCACUGGACUGGUCACUGACACUGAGGCUCGAAAGUGUGGGUAUCAAACAG